AGCAGCGUGGCUCAGUGGAAAGAGCACGGGCUUGGGAGUCAGAGGUCAAGGGUUCAAAUCCCUGCUCUGCCA
rfam:Ornithorhynchus anatinus chromosome 7, whole genome shotgun sequence.